rnacentral:rRNA from 2 species
AUAGCGUAUAUUAAAGUUGUUGAGGUUAAAAAGCUCGUAGUUGAACCUUGGGCCUAGCCGGCCGGUCCGCCUCACCGCGUGCACUGGCUCGGCUGGGCCUUUCCUUCUGGAGAACCGCAUGCCCUUCACUGGGUGUGCCGGGGAACCAGGACUUUUACCGUGAAAAAAUUAGAUCGCUUAAAGAAGGCCUAUGCUCGAAUACAUUAGCAUGGAAUAAUAGAAUAGGACGUGUGGUUCUAUUUUGUUGGUUUCUAGGACCGCCGUAAUGAUUAAUAGGGACAGUCGGGGGCAUCAGUAUUCAAUUGUCAGAGGUGAAAUUCUUGGAUUUAUUGAAGACUAACUACUGCGAAAGCAUUUGCCAAGGAUGUUUUCAUUAAUCAGGAACGAAAGUUAGGGGAUCGAAGACGAUCAGAUACC